GGAGACACACGGCGGGUGCUAACGUCCGUCGUGAAGAGGGAAACAACCCAGACCGCCAGCUAAGGUCCCAAAGUCAUGGUUAAGUGGGAAACGAUGUGGGAAGGCCCAGACAGCCAGGAUGUUGGCUUAGAAGCAGCCAUCAUUUAAAGAAAGCGUAAUAGCUCACUGGUCGAGUCGGCCUGCGCGGAAGAUGUAACGGGGCUAAACCAUGCACCGAAGCUGCGGCAGCGACGCUGAUGCGUUGUUGGGUAGGGGAGCGUUCUGUAAGCCUGCGAAGGUGUGUCGUGAGGCAUGCUGGAGGUAUCAGAAGUGCGAAUGCUGACAUAAGUAACGAUAAAGCGGGUGAAAAGCCCGCUCGCCGGAAGACCAAGGGUUCCUGUCCAACGUUAAUCGGGGCAGGGUGAGUCGACCCCUAAGGCGAGGCCGAAAGGCGUAGUCGAUGGGAAACGGGUUAAUAUUCCCGUACUUGGUGUUACUGCGAAGGGGGGACGGAGAAGGCUAUGUUGGCCGGGCGACGGUUGUCCCGGUUUAAGCGUGUAGG
rnacentral:rRNA from 1 species